AUUAUAGUAAAAAGGCAAAUCUACUACUAACUCAUUAUGAUGACCACCAUCCUCAUUCAUGUCCCAGUCAUCACUAUCAAUCCAUUCUUCAUCAGAAUCCUCAUUGUCCUCAUCAUCCUCAUCAUCAUUGGGACAAUAAUCACUGCUAGCGAAUUCAGAAUCAUCCGUAGAUUGAAGUGCUUCAGUGUAACAAGUAUUUGAUGGGCCCGCUUCAUCAACAACAUUUGCAGAUGGUCGAAAAAUGUCAAUAUAUAAUUCAAUCGAUGACAUACCUCCAAUUUCA
rnacentral:misc_RNA from 1 species